GUUUGGCUUCGGCAGCUCAGGGUUUACAGUGCGGUUGCGUUGGCAGAGUUGGGCAGGUUAAUUUGGCUAUUCGUUUCUGCGGGCGACAGUCGGCAUAGAAGCGAGAAUUCCGCUCCGCUUCUCAUUUCAAACAUCGGAUACCAUGGAUUUGCACCGUGGAAGCGUCUUCUACUGGCAGCGGCGUGUCGAGCUAUGCGCGGAGUAUGCUUACUACUGAAAAGGCUACUACAUUUCAUUCCCUGGGGAUUAACCUUUGAGAAUAAAUAACUGUGGACUGAAUUGUCAUUUAUUAAAGGAUUGUUUAUUUGUGA